CUGAGGUCAGUGCUUCUCUGCAGGUCUCACCGCUGUUCUCCUCCGUCCGGCUCCAUUCCCUUUCCUCGCUCCCCCAUGGUCUUUCCUGCUUGAUUUCUUCCUUUUCCACCGCAUUUCCUUCUUCCCUUAGAGCACCUUCACGAUCACAUUUGAUGUCUCUUACAAGGCUGCCCUGGGAAACAGGUUGCUUAUGAGGGCCGAUGCCAGCAGUGAGAACAGUAAGCCUGCAAUGAACAAGACGACCUUCCAGCUGGAGCUGCCAGUGAAAUACACAGUGUACACAGUGAUCAGCAGGUGCCUAAUCCCUAAGCCUCCCUUGGUCUCUGAUCUCCCUCCAGGCCUUAUACCUUCUGCACCUCAGCAGACUCUUUUGAUGAUGGGCAUCUAUGUCAGGCUGUUUUACUAUAAUUGGCUGCCUGGGGUAAGGUACUUAUAAAGGAAAGAGGUUUAUUUAGCGCACAGCUUUGCAGGCUAACGGUCCAAACAUCAUAGUGCCAGGUCUGGUGAAGGCCCCUUGCCUACCUGCUCUUACAGCAGGCAGCACCACAACGGCAGGAGUGUACACCAGAGGGUGAGAUUCCACGGUGAGACCUGAAAGCAGAGCAAGGGAGCAGGGCUAGUCUCGCAAUUACUCACUAGGUGCUACCUCUAAAAGGUCCCGCCAUCUCCCAGCACUGCCGUACUGAGGGCCAAGUUCUAAAGGCGUGAACCCUUGGGGACAAACUAAAACCAUAUCCCAGCAGCAGAGCAGCUGAGCUGUUCCCUUCGAUUCCUCCCAGAGCUGUGUGGGAGCGCUUGUGUGUGGGGGACCAGCCGAACAUGCACAUCGUAGUCCAGUGGCCCGUACAUUGCUUUCUUCU
rnacentral:lncRNA from 1 species